CUUGAUCGACCCCAGGAAGAGCGGCUGCUCGGGCGAACGUCCCUGGCCGUAGGUGGCCAGCAGCGCCUGCGCCUC
rfam:Streptomyces glauciniger strain CGMCC 4.1858 genome assembly, contig: Ga0079895_154